GGCGCUAUAGCCAAGUGGUUACGGCGACAGAUUCGAAUUAUCUCUUAUCUGUUCCUCUUUGAGGGCGCAGGUUCAAAUCCUACUGGCGUCG
rnacentral:tRNA from 1 species